CAUACGAAAAAAGGGAGCUUGUGUCAGCAGGCUGAGAGGAAGUCAUCAACUUCGACCUAUUACCUGAUUUGGAUAAUGCCAACGUAGGGAAAUAACAUUGAAUGAUU
rnacentral:ncRNA from 2 species